AGAAACAUACAGAAGUGGAUUAGGGAACAUUCUAGACCAGUACUUCCCAACCUUCCUAAUGCUGCGACCCUUUAAUUCAGUUCUUCGUGUCAUGUUGACCCCCCAGCCAUGAAGUUAUUUCAUUGCUACUUCAUAACUGCAAUGUUGCUGUUAUGAAUUGUAAUGUAAAUAUCUGAUACGCAGGAUAUUUGAUAUACGACCCCUGUGAAAGGGUUGUUCAACCCCAAAGGGGUUGUGACCUGCAGGUUGAGAAAUCCUGUUUUAGACUAAGGAUGAACUACUUUCCAGGAAGACCCCAUUGAACUGUGUGGUCACGGGACUUUCUUAGCCGUGGAUACAGAGACCCGAGAUGAAGAUACCUGUAAAAGCAAAGGGGACCAUGAUCAAGAGGGAUUGUGGUGGCAGGAGGCUGAUCAAACUGGGGUGGCAAUGGCUCAGAGUGGAAGGAGUUCGUUUUCUGCAGCUGUGAAAAAUACCAUGGACUGGGUGCAGUAUAAACCGGAAGUCUGUUUGGUUUACAGUUCUGUAGGCUGGGAGUCCAUUGUCAAGAGGCAGUACCUGAGGGGGGGGGGGGACUUCCUUACUGCAACACAGCAUGGGUGGGGGGGGUGACACCCCACUCCUGGAUGACAAUAUUAGUCCAUUGGCUGGACUAGAGCCCAGGUGGCACUAUCACCCCUACAGCUCCCCCCUUAACGCCAUCACCAUAACAAUUACAUGCCCCCAUGCAUUCUGGAGGACAUUCAAACCACAGCAAGCAGGUUUUCUAGUUUGCAGGGGGGGGGGGGGGCUCAGUGUGGAAAAUGUAAACAUAGGCUAGUGGGCCAUGCCCCACUACCCUACCACCUAUCAAGAGGCACUGUCUCCCCAUCUGCCUGAUGCUGUUUAUGAGGCCCUAAACACGUCAGGAAAGACACCCCUGAUAGCGAGGCCGACAAAGCACAGAGGAUGCUUGGAGAGCUCCAGUUCAUACCCUGGGCUGCUUCUGGCUGGUAAGCAAUUGAAGUGGGUUUGUUUCUGAGUGACUGAGGAGAAAGAACACAGGCAGGGCAGAUUUAAUGAAUGGUUUCAUGCCCACAGAAGGACGGGGCCUCACAGGGUAAUAGCAAAGCAAGUAUCACAACCGCUCUGCACACCGCGUGAAAACAGCUCACGGACUCCGCCCACGGACAACGCGUGCUACUUCAAGGACGGGCCCAUCGGCCAACACAUCAUACUACGUUCCCACUUCAGAGUUGAGCAAAUUAAGGCCCAGAGACCCCUUUUACUUGCCCAAGGUCACAGAGCUGGGAAGCAAAGCUGGGCAGUGUGUGACCUGCUCACUUCUGACAACUCCUGCUGUGGCCGAGGGACAGAAAAGUCCCGUGGCUCAGUUCGAUGUCCUGGCCAGAAGACAGCACAGUCCCAUCCUGACGGUCCUAAGGCACCUCUGUCUUCCUGCUUAUGAUUUAUCAAUAGAGAUGUCUGAUCACUGACGCACUAUUUUUAAACUUUUUUUUUUCUUUUUUUGCAGUAUGGGGCAUGGAACCCAAGGCCUCCUGCAUUCUAGGCGAGUGCUCCCCGAGUCAUACCCUUGCCCUCCUGCCAUAUUCUCUAAAAGGAGAAAAAGAAAUCAGACAAGCUGCCCCUGGAUGGGAUAUACCGCUGGAAUGAUGCCUCUGGCUUCCUCUGUGGCUGUGGCUGCUGCAACCCACCAGAGGAGACCCUUCAAUCUGAAGGAAGCCAUUGUGACCAAGGGCAGGCUUCCCAGAGAGAUUCUAGAAAUGAGGUUAGAGGGGAGAGGACCACUGUGCUCCCUCUAAGAAGAUGUCAUUCUUAGUUGGCUGGGCAUCUAUCUUGGAUGGUGACCAGAUGGCUGGAGAUCCAGGGGCACAAAAGGGAACUUCUUGUCCUUGCUCGGCCAUUACUAGACUUUGUAACCUUGGACUCUUGAAGCUGUCUGGGUUUGGGUUUGCUUCUCUUUAAGAUGAAAUGGCCUGGGACAAGACAUGCCCUAACUCUAAUAGCUCCAGCCCUUCCUGAGGGCUCCAGGAUGCAUCAUCCUUGAAAACUGCUAAAACAUUUUAGGCCUGAUGAUAGUGUGUGUGUGUGUGUGUGUGUGUGUGUGUGUGUGUGUGUGUGUGUGUGUAUGUGUGUGUGUAGGGUGUGUACUGGCUGGUUUUGUGUGUCAACUUGACACAAGCUAGAGUCAUCAGAGGAAGGAGUCUCAGUUGAGGAAAUAGUUCGAUGAGAUCCAGCUAUAAGGCAUUUUCUCAUUUAGUGAUCAAUGGAAGGGCCCAGCCCAUGGUGGGUGGUGCCAUCCCUGGGCUGGUGGUCCUGGGUUCCAUAAGAAAGCAGGCUAAGCAAGUCCUGUGAAGCAAGCCAGUAAGCAGCUCCCUCCAUGGCCUCUGCAUCAGCUCUUGCCUCCAGGAUCCUGCCCUGUUUGAGUUCCUGUCCUGAUUUCCUCUGGUGAUAACAGCAAUGCUGAAGUGUAAGCCAAAUAAACCCUUUCCUCCUCAACUCACAUUUUGGUCAUGGUGUUUUGUUGCAGCAAUAAAAACCCUAACUAAGACGGGAGCUUAUGGAUUAAGGUUAUGAAUGAAUGAAUGAAUGAAUGAAUGAAUGAAUGAAUUUUAAAACAUAAAUAUUAGGGGGCUGGAGAGAUGGCUCAGAGGUUAAGAGCACUGGCUGCUCUUCCAGAGGUCCCGAGUUCAAUUCCCAGCAACCACAUGGUGGCUCACAACCAUCCAUAAUGAGAUCUGGGGCCCUCUUCUGGCCUGCAGGUGUAUAUGAAGACAGAACACUGUAUACAUAAUAAAUAAAUUUAAAAAAAAACAAAAAACCCAUAAAUAUUAUUAUGGUUAUCAAAACAUAGGUAAAUGAAUAAUUAAGACUAGUUAGGGGUAUCCUUUUGGACAUCCAACUCUGGAAGGGUCUUGAUCUCAUGGCUAUAAGCUGUCCUGUGGACUGCCAAGGGGCUGCCUCAGUUAAUUCUAGGUGAGGGUUUCUAGGCUUCUCUUCAGAGAGACAGGUAACGCUCUCAUCCUGACCUGUUCUCAGGUGAGCAGAGUGUGACCAAAUGCCCUUCUUGAGGCAGAGGAUGGCAAGUUCAAGGCCAGAUAGGGCAACCGAUUGAGAAGCUGUCUCAAGAUGGGAAGUAAAAAGAGCGCCGGGUCUCUUGAUCAGCGGCAGAGAACUUGCCUAGUGUUCGGUUCGGGUCCCUUCUUGAGUACAAAACAGAAGGAAAUCAGGAGGAUGUGCUGAUAGAUUUAUUCUGGAAAGGCGUCAGGGUUUCCCUGGCAGAAAGCAUCUCCUUUUAGAAACCAGGUCUGAUGGGAGUUAGGUUGGCACAGGUCCAGGGAAAAGAUAGGCCCCAGGGUCACUCACUAACUCCACCUGCCAGCUCUGACCAGGAAGCAGGAUUUCUUUCUAGGUUAAUCUGGGGGACAUGUAACUGGUGUUUGCAUCCCUAUGGGGAGUCAGGGAGACGCCCCAGCUCUCUGCAUUUCCCACUUGAGUUUAUCUUCAGGGAGUCUUGGUGGGAGCUGGGGACUGGAGGAAGCAUUCCCUGACCUAACUUGGGAACCUCCCUGGCCCCUGCUCCUAGAUCCUGCCAGAAUCUAUAGAGGGCUCAUGGGAGGGGCAGAGAUAGAGUGCUGUGUGGUUUGUUCUUUAGUUGUUUUGUCUUGUUGGGGUGGAACAUUUGGUGAAGUUGAUAAAGUCAUUGCCCCCCCACCCCCGGCCAAAACUUUAGAAUAAAAUUCUUACAUUCUAUUUCUUUGACCCUGAGAUCUGAUAGUAGCUUAACAAAAGUAGAGUUUCAGAGACGAUACAAACCAUGGUGCUGAUGAGGAAAUUUAGAUUGUGUAGGAAAUAUUGAUCUCAGUUAUUAGUAUUGUACACCGGCAGUAUAAAUAGUAUUAAGAGCUGUGUUAGUCUAUUUUUUUUUUGUUACUAUAACGAAACAUUCAAAGCUGAGAACCUUAUGAAGUAAGAAGAUUUAUUUCAUCUCACAGAUGUGGAAGUUAAAGGUGGAGGGACCCUAUCUAGUGGUGGGGCCUGCUGGCAGGGUUCCAGGUAGCACAGGACAGCACAUGGCAAGAGACAGGGAUGUGCACGUGACUUCUGGUCUCUGUCUCUGUCUCUCUGUCCCCUCCCCUGAUACAGUCACAGGAUUCAGUUAUGAGGGCUCUGCCCUGAAGAUUGAACCUAAUUCUAGUCAUUGCUAAAGAUCCUGACUUAAUUCAGUUCUGUCCCGUAUACAAACCGUGGUGACAGAACAAUGAAGAUCAGAGCCUCUUGGGUUUCCAGGGAGGAUAGGGUCUGUGACAGCAGGGCAGUUGGAGGGGGACAUUCCACAGGCCUUCUCAGAGCCAGAGCUCUGAGCACUUGAAAGUCUCAUCAGGAAUGGCAGGAACAAUCUAAGUUGUUUCUAGUACUACUCCUUAAGGAUUGAAAGUUUUUUGAGAUUUUAUUUAUUUUUACUUUAUGUGUAUAGGUGUGUGUCUAAAUAUAUAUCUGUGCACCCUGUGUGCCUGCAGAGGCCAGAAGAAGAUAUCAGAAUCCCUGGGACUGGAGUCACAGAUGGUUCUGAGCCACUGUGUGAGUGCUAAGUAUUGAACCUGGGUCUUCUGGAAGAGUAGCUAGUGUUCUUAUCUGCUGAACCAUCUCCAGCCCUCCAUUAAAGGUUUUUUUAUAAAUGUGGUAUGGUUUUAGAAGCUGUCUUAUUUCUUGCAUUUGUUCAGUAGACUUUCUUUUUUGACUGUCAAGUGUUGACUUAAGAAAAAAUAUGAGGUUGUUAAGAUAGUUAUAACUUUCCCCUAGAUAAAUGUGAACAUAUGUAAUUGUUUUUGAUACUGAAGAAUGAGCCUGGGCCUUGUGCAGGCUGAGUAAGGGGUCUGUCACCAAGCCCUGUCUCCAGGCCUCUUUUCACUUUUUGAGACAGGAUCUCACGGAGUUGCCCAGGCUGGCCUUGAACUCACUUUGUAGUUUAAGCAGCUUUGGACUUGUGAUCCUCCUGCCUCAGUCUCCUGGUCCGGCUGUACAUAUUCUUUCUAUGAUUACUCCAAGACUUUCGUUGGGGAAGCAGUGUGGUCCACAGUAUGAAUGCAUCCAUCCUGAAGGCUUUAUAUCCUUCAUGUGAUAAUGUGUAAGGACAUCAUAUAAUUGUAUUUUCUUUUUCCAGAGGAAAAAGUAGAAACUUUGAGAAAUACAUACACUAUCCAGAGCUACUCAGCUAACUGAAAAAAAAAAAAAAACCCACAAUAUCUA